rnacentral:rRNA from 1 species
UACGUAGGGGGCAAGCGUUAUCCGGAUUUACUGGGUGUAAAGGGAGCGUAGACGGCAAGACAAGUCUGAUGUGAAAACCCAGGGCUUAACCCUGGGACUGCAUUGGAAACUGUCUGGCUCGAGUGCCGGAGAGGUAAGCGGAAUUCCUAGUGUAGCGGUGAAAUGCGUAGAUAUUAGGAAGAACACCAGUGGCGAAGGCGGCUUACUGGACGGUAACUGACGUUGAGGCUCGAAAGCGUGGGGAGCAAACAGG